AGGUCAUUUCAAAGAGGGCUGAUGGGACCAAAUCCAGGAGCUCUUAACGCUGUGACCAAAGAUCGAGUUCUCCAUAGGAUGUAAUAGUCACUUGAUAGUGCUAUGUUUUCCUGAUGGAGAUACAGGA
rnacentral:snoRNA from 1 species